GUUUUGUUUCCCUCUAUCAUUGGUUUUCAUGUUUUGUAUGACCAUGUUGUCUUUUGAUACAGGGAUAUUUCUUCUCUGAGCUUUGAGUCUGCUUGUUAUGAGCGGUAAUUGCCUCUACUUUAUUUUGUGUUAUAUAUUUUAAUGUUCUUAUAGGAGCAAAACAGAAAUAAAAGAGCCCACACAUGUGUAGCUGAUGGAGAAUUUAUGCCUUUUCCACAAAUGUCUUCCCUACAUACACAUGCCAAUGUUCAGGCCCCUUUAAGUGUCUAACAAUUAACUGAAAUUCUCUAUUUUUAAAACUAAUCCACAAACCUUAACUAGAAUACUUUCGUUUUCAUCAGCUUUUUGUGCAGUUUUUAGGCUGGAAUCCCAACUUGAUUUGUGCGCAUAACUUGACGAACACAGAUCUCAAGUUAGGAUUUGGCACUUGUAUGCUAAAUUUAGUUUCAAACCAAAUAAGCAAAAGACAACACAAAAAUAUAUAUUUUUGUGUGCUUUUUUUUUUUACUAACACUAACUGAUGUUUGAUGUUUUUCCCAACAAUGAUGUUUCCUGUGGUGGCUGAGAGCGAGACAGAGCCCAGCACCUUCUCCAUCCUGGGCUCCACUUUCAGAGAGACAAGACCUCCACAAAGCCACUUAUCAAGGUGCUGCCACUUUAGAGAAGAAACUCACAAGGAACCUCAUCUGGACAAAGGGUAAGUCAGAACUUAUUUUCCCUGUCUUGGUUUCAUCCGUCUCCUUUUUCUGCUUUGGUGCCCAUGUAAGACUCAAGGCCAGAGAGAUGUUCAACAAUGGGCCCUGUGGAUAUUUCUCAGAAACAUUUUAAAACAGAAAUGUAUUAAAACAUAUGUAACACUUUUGUCCAUGUACUUAACUUUAUUCGUGUAAUCCAACCCAAAUAAUUGGACACCACUUUUUCCAAUAUAUGAUAAAACAUAAUGUAUAUUUUGUCUGCUGUUGAGAACAUAACUUGUAUUCAUUUUCACGUGUGUUUUAAUAUAAUAAACAUGUCUGUGAAAAAUAUUUGGUAUAGUCCGUGCCUAUCUGAUGAUCAGUAAAAGAUCUUUCGUAAUAGCUUAC
rnacentral:lncRNA from 1 species